CAGCAGCCGCGGUAAUACCGGCGGCCCGAGUGGCGGUCAAUAUUAUUGGGCUUAAAGCGUCCGUAGCCGGGUUGGGAAGUCCUCCGGGAAAUCUGGCCGCUUAACGGUCAGAAUGCCGGAGGAUACUCCCAGCCUAGGGAGCGGGAGAGGCCGAGGGGAUUCCCGGGGUAGGGGUGAAAUCCUAUAAUCCCGGGAGGACAACCUGUGGCGAAGGCGCUCGGCUGGAACGCGUCCGACGGUGCGGGACGAAGGCCAGGGGAGCAAACCGGAUUAGAUACCCGGGUAGUCCUGGCUGUAAACGAUGCGGACUUUGUGUCGGACAAGCUAUGAGCUUGUCCGGUGCCGGAGGGAAACCGUUAAGUCCGCCGCCUGGGGAGUACGGCCGCAAGGCUGAAACUUAAAGGAAUUGGCGGG
rnacentral:rRNA from 1 species